rnacentral:tRNA from 1 species
AAGAUUUUAAGUUAAUUAAACUAUUAACCUUCAAAGUUAAAAAUGCUCUGAGUAAAUCUUA